CUACUUUGCUUCAGACUCCAAACGUACUUCGAAAGCUUUGUGUCAGACGAGUACGUUUGGAGUCUGAAGCAAAGCAG